rnacentral:rRNA from 1 species
UACGUAGGGGGCAAGCGUUGUCCGGAUUUAUUGGGCGUAAAGAGCGUGUAGGCGGCCAUACAGGUCCGUUGUGAAAACUCGAGGCUUAACCUCGAGACGUCGAUGGAAACCGUAUGGCUAGAGUCCGGAAGAGGAGAGUGGAAUUCCUGGUGUAGCGGUGAAAUGCGCAGAUAUCGGGAAGAACACCCGUGGCGAAAGCGGCUCUCUGGGACGGUACUGACGCUGAGACGCGAAAGCGUGGGGAGCGAACAGG